GGUGGGAUUGGGGAUGAAGGUGUUGACCCGCCCGCCCAUCACCGCCCAGGUGCGCUUGCCGUCCUGGUACAUCUGCACGCCGCGGCGGCUGAAUUCUUU
rnacentral:ncRNA from 21 species